AGUGAACGCUGGCGGUAGGCCUAACACAUGCAAGUCGAACGGCAGCACAGUAAGAGCUUGCUCUUACGGGUGGCGAGUGGCGGACGGGUGAGGAAUACAUCGGAAUCUACUUUUUCGUGGGGGAUAACGUAGGGAAACUUACGCUAAUACCGCAUACGACCUACGGGUGAAAGCAGGGGAUCUUCGGACCUUUCGCGAUUGAAUGAGCCGAUGUCGGAUUAGCUAGUUGGCGGGGUAAAGGCCCACCAAGGCGACGAUCCGUAGCUGGUCUGAGAGGAUGAUCAGCCACACUGGAACUGAGACACGGUCCAGACUCCUACGGGAGGCAGCAGUGGGGAAUAUUGGACAAUGGGCGAAAGCCUGAUCCAGCCAUACCGCGUGUGUGAAGAAGGCCUUCGGGUUGUAAAGCACUUUUGUUGGGAAAGAAAAGCAGCAGGUUAAUACCCCGCUGUGAUGACGGUACCCAAAGAAUAAGCACCGGCUAACUUCGUG
rnacentral:rRNA from 1 species